rnacentral:rRNA from 1 species
GAUGAACGCUGGCGGCGUGCCUAAUACAUGCAAGUCGAGCGAACGGACGAGAAGCUUGCUUCUCUGAUGUUAGCGGCGGACGGGUGAGUAACACGUGGAUAACCUACCUAUAAGACUGGGAUAACUUCGGGAAACCGGAGCUAAUACCGGAUAAUAUUUUGAACCGCAUGGUUCAAAAGUGAAAGACGGUCUUGCUGUCACUUAUAGAUGGAUCCGCGCUGCAUUAGCUAGUUGGUAAGGUAACGGCUUACCAAGGCAACGAUGCAUAGCCGACCUGAGAGGGUGAUCGGCCACACUGGAACUGAGACACGGUCCAGACUCCUACGGGGGGCAGCAGUAGGGAAUCUUCCGCAAUGGGCGAAAGCCUGACGGAGCAACGCCGCGUGAGUGAUGAAGGUCUUCGGAUCGUAAAACUCUGUUAUUAGGGAAGAACAUAUGUGUAAGUAACUGUGCACAUCUUGACGGUACCUAAUCAGAAAGCCACGGCUAACUACGUGCCAGCAGCCGCGGUAAUACGUAGGUGGCAAGCGUUAUCCGGAAUUAUUGGGCGUAAAGCGCGCGUAGGCGGUUUUUUAAGUCUGAUGUGAAAGCCCACGGCUCAACCGUGGAGGGUCAUUGGAAACUGGAAAACUUGAGUGCAGAAGAGGAAAGUGGAAUUCCAUGUGUAGCGGUGAAAUGCGCAGAGAUAUGGAGGAACACCAGUGGCGAAGGCGACUUUCUGGUCUGUAACUGACGCUGAUGUGCGAAAGCGUGGGGAUCAAACAGGAUUAGAUACCCUGGUAGUCCACGCCGUAAACGAUGAGUGCUAAGUGUUAGGGGGUUUCCGCCCCUUAGUGCUGCAGCUAACGCAUUAAGCACUCCGCCUGGGGAGUACGACCGCAAGGUUGAAACUCAAAGGAAUUGACGGGGACCCGCACAAGCGGUGGAGCAUGUGGUUUAAUUCGAAGCAACGCGAAGAACCUUACCAAAUCUUGACAUCCUUUGACAACUCUAGAGAUAGAGCCUUCCCCUUCGGGGGACAAAGUGACAGGUGGUGCAUGGUUGUCGUCAGCUCGUGUCGUGAGAUGUUGGGUUAAGUCCCGCAACGAGCGCAACCCUUAAGCUUAGUUGCCAUCAUUAAGUUGGGCACUCUAAGUUGACUGCCGGUGACAAACCGGAGGAAGGUGGGGAUGACGUCAAAUCAUCAUGCCCCUUAUGAUUUGGGCUACACACGUGCUACAAUGGACAAUACAAAGGGCAGCGAAACCGCGAGGUCAAGCAAAUCCCAUAAAGUUGUUCUCAGUUCGGAUUGUAGUCUGCAACUCGACUACAUGAAGCUGGAAUCGCUAGUAAUCGUAGAUCAGCAUGCUACGGUGAAUACGUUCCCGGGUCU